rnacentral:rRNA from 1 species
AUUGAACGCUGGCGGCAGGCCUAACACAUGCAAGUCGAGCGAGCGGCGGACGGGUGAGUAAUGGAUGGGGAACUGCCCGAUAGAGGGGGAUAAAUAAUGGAAACGGUGGCUAAUACCGCAUACUAUCAGAUGAACCCAGAUGGGCUUAGCGAGUAGGUGGGGUAAAGGCUAACCAAGGCGACGAUGUCUAGCUGGUCUGAGAGGAUGAUCAGCCACACUGGGACGGCGACACGGCCCAGACUCCUACGGGAGGCAGCAGUGGUGAAUAUUGCACAAUGGGCGCAAGCCUGAUGCAGCCAUGCAGCGUGUAUGAAGAAGGCUUUAGGGUUGUAAAGUACUUUCAUCGGGGAGGCGUUACCCGCAGAGGAAGCACCGGCUAACUCCGUGCCAGCAGCCGCGGUAAUUC